rnacentral:lncRNA from 1 species
UAACACCGUUAACGAUUUUUAACGGGAAGGGUUAAUUGGUUUCAAAUUAACACUUAAAGGGACUUAAUUGGGAGUUUUUAAAAGACGGGGACCCAAUUGGGAAAACAUAACGAAAACAGGGACGCCAAAGUGGUUUUAACCUUAAUUUAACCUAACCAUAACAAAAAAAUUAAAAAUAUUAUCAACAACCAAAUUAAUUUAUACGUAUCUUACUUGCAACUAAUGAAAUGACUUCACUAACAAGGAUAAUAAGCACGAGCUAAGGAACAAGCGUGAAACAAUGAAACGACAAGGAAAUGUAAUGAAAGCAAUGAAUCCACAACAACAAAAUGGAGUCACAC